rnacentral:rRNA from 1 species
AUUGAACGCUGGCGGCAGGCUUAACACAUGCAAGUCGAGCGGGGGAGGUUGCUUCGGUAACUGACCUAGCGGCGGACGGGUGAGUAAUGCUUAGGAAUCUGCCUAUUAGUGGGGGACAACAUUCCGAAAGGAAUGCUAAUACCGCAUACGCCCUACGGGGGAAAGCAGGGGAUCUUCGGACCUUGCGCUAAUAGAUGAGCCUAAGUCGGAUUAGCUAGUUGGUGGGGUAAAGGCCUACCAAGGCGACGAUCUGUAGCGGGUCUGAGAGGAUGAUCCGCCACACUGGGACUGAGACACGGCCCAGACUCCGACGGGAGGCAGCAGUGGGGAAUAUUGGACAAUGGGCGGAAGCCUGAUCCAGCCAUGCCGCGUGUGUGAAGAAGGCCUUUUGGUUGUAAAGCACUUUAAGCGAGGAGGAGGCUCUUAAGGUUAAUACCCUUGAUGAGUGGACGUUACUCGCAGAAUAAGCACCGGCUAACUCUAUGCCAGCCGCCGCCGUAAGAC